rnacentral:rRNA from 1 species
UACGUAGGGACCGAGCGUUGUCCGGAAUCAUUGGGCGUAAAGAGCGUGUAGGCGGCCACUUAAGUCCUGCGUGAAAUCUUGCGGCUCAACCGCAAGCGGGUCGUGGGAAACUGGGUGGCUAGAGUGCGGGGAGAGGAGAGUGGAAUUCCUGGUGUAGCGGUGGAAUGCGCAGAUAUCGGGAGGAACACCAGUGGCGAAGGGCGAA